GUGCCAGCAGCCGCGGUAAUACGUAGGUGGCAAGCGUUAUCCGGAAUUAUUGGGCGUAAAGCGCUCGCAGGCGGUCCUUUAAGUCUGAUGUGAAAGCCCACGGCUCAACCGUGGAGGGUCAUUGGAAACUGGGGGACUUGAGUGCAGAAGAGGAGAGUGGAAUUCCACGUGUAGCGGUGAAAUGCGUAGAGAUGUGGAGGAACACCAGUGGCGAAGGCGACUCUCUGGUCUGUAACUGACGCUGAGGAGCGAAAGCGUGGGGAGCGAACAGGAUUAGAUACCCUGGUAGUCC
rnacentral:rRNA from 1 species